CAGUCGCUACGGUAAUACAGAGGGUGCGAGCGUUAAUCGGAUUUACUGGGCGUAAAGCGUGCGUAGGCGGCUUCUUAAGUCGGAUGUGAAAUCCCUGAGCUUAACUUAGGAAUUGCAUUCGAUACUGGGAAGCUAGAGUAUGGGAGAGGAUGGUAGAAUUCCAGGUGUAGCGGUGAAAUGCGUAGAGAUCUGGAGGAAUACCGAUGGCGAAGGCAGCCAUCUGGCCUAAUACUGACGCUGAGGUACGAAAGCAUGGGGAGCAAACAGGAUUAGAGACCCCGGUAGUCCCUGUCUCUUAUAC
rnacentral:rRNA from 1 species